UACGAAGGGGGCUAGCGUUGUUCGGAAUUACUGGGCGUAAAGCGCGCGCAGGCGGUUCUCCAAGUCAGUGGUGAAAGCCCGGGGCUCAACUCCGGAACUGCCAUUGAAACUGUUGAACUUGAGGACGAGAGAGGUGAGUGGAAUUCCCAGUGUAGAGGUGAAAUUCGUAGAUAUUGGGAAGAACACCGGUGGCGAAGGCGGCUACACUGGCUCGUAUCUGACGCUCAGGCGCGAUAGCGUGGGGAUCAAACAGG
rnacentral:rRNA from 1 species